GAACCCACUACCGUAAUUUCGAUCUUAGUUGAAACCUCCUUGGAACCCUGCUUCUACUCGGAAGUCUCUUAAACUCGAACCUAAACUUUAGGAGUUCUCGAACGUAUAGAUGGUGUACAUCAAGGGAACGUCUACGUAACAUUAAUCGAACAGAAAACAAACUUGGGGCUCGAGGGGGAUCGACUCUAGAGGGAAAUAGGGUGGUUCCACCUAUUGGUACGUUGAGUUUUGUGAGUAGGAACCACACAGGAAAAGAGAACGUUACCAGUGUUUCGUUAAACGAAAAUAGGUGGAAUGGUUUCCUUAAACAUCGUGCCGCUCCAACAUACCUAUUACGUCGUGCUCGUAGACGUGCGAGGACUGGUAGGAGGAAGCCAACACGGUUUGCUCAGAGGAGGAGUUAGUACGAUCUUUAUUAUAGUAGUUCUGAUCCGGUGAGUCCGUAAGGUUUAUAGUUAACUGCUGCCUCCAAAUCAAGGACCAGAUCCGGUAGUUCUUUCUCGAACGAGUGUUUGCUGAGUUUGGUGUGUACUACUUAACGGUUCAGUAGGAACAGUUGUCCAAGUUUUCCCACUACUAUUACAUUCAAAGAUAUAUUAAAAAAAUGAAGUGGACCUAUGAGACAAUGUCUAGAACUCGCGACGAAGUUUAAUCAAUUGAGUACGUACUAUACCCACCGAACGUAAAAUAAACAAAAGGGACGUUUAACAAAGAAGUUUCUACUGGCCUGGAGUGUUUGUCACAGGUACGGAAGGUGAACAAGAGAAUAAAAACCAAGGUAUGAAAGGUUGUCGGUAUGAUCAUGAAAUAGUAACUAAACAAAGGACGGGCGUGGCGGAAAGAGGUUUGAAAGAAGUGAGGGUUGUUCAUUUAUUAGUAUGAGUAACCGCGAGUUUUAGUUAAACCGUACCGCACGGGUUGACUACAUCAGUGGUCCAGGACUAUCAAACUGACCUAAACCGAGUUCACAUACGAAUUGACCGAGUCGUCGGACGACCACGAAUUCGUCAAACGAUUUAUAAAGUAUGUAGAAUAGUUGUGAUCUUAGGGGACAAAAAGACAUGAACCUAGAGGGUACCAAGUCACUCGUUCUUAUAUAAGGUUGUGAUCAUGAACCAAGAAGAAUAGUUUAUGCACGUCGUGUUUCUCCUUGGUUGAUCAUGCCGAGUUGUUACACGGUUUCUCAUGCCGUUAAUGAAGCCUAACGUUGUGAUCGUUUAUCAUAAUAAAUUAGGCCGGUCGACUGGUGGUUUCGUCGAGGUCCGUUGUGACUAAGAAGAAGAUUUCGUUAUUUUUUGUGUCUUCGAGUUCCUCAGGCUCUCAGUUCAACCCCUGCUUGAUCUGGACGAGUGCCGCGGCCUACCGUCCUCUCUUUUUUAAUCGAACAUCGCCCCCUCCCUCAGAUCUGCGGGUCCGAGAUAAGUUAAGUUGACCAUCGACGUCCUCGGAGGGGCCAACAUGAACUAAGUCCGUCUUAGCUCCAGCGAAGGGCUGUGGAUGUUGUUUCGGUCGUCGUCUUCGUGGAGGUUGUUAUCCUCGCUGUGUCGUGGCGUGGCGUGGCUGCUGGUUUUAGUUAGCUUUAGUGUCCUCUUGGUGUGUCCUAAGCAGGGCGGGACUAUGGUAGAACAGUGAGUACCUAAACACUUGAUCCCAAGUACUUCCUCUCCUCUGUAACCCCUUUUUAGACCCCAGAAGAUGGCUAGGGG
rnacentral:rRNA from 1 species